AAUGCUUGUGCUGUUUUGUGUCUUUUGUAUGUAAAUUCAUUGGAGAAGUCCCCCCUCCCCUUACACGCUACGGGCAAUAGUACUUUUACUUUUACUUUGUACUUCAAGUAUUUUUAAGGAUACUUUGUACUUAAAAUUUUUGCUUGAGUACGUUUUGCCUUCAGUACUUUUUACGUUUUUAAUUACUCAAGUAGUUCAGUUUAUUGUUAAUUACUUCUACUUUUACUCAAGUACAAAUUCAAAGUAAUUUAGGCACCACUGAUUAUAUGUAACUAUGUGAUAUAGUAGACCUUAUGUCUUAAUCAAUUCCAUGGGCUAUGUGAUAUAGUAGACCUUAUGUCUUAAUCAAUUCCCCCCCGGGCAUUUGUCGGGCAAUUGUCAUUUUGGCGAAAAAACCAAUGAAAAUGCCCCACCAUGGGGUCCAAAUAAUGCAACAAAAUCCCCACCCUUAAUUGGGGACUUACAUUUGAUGCAAAUGCCCCCACCCUUGGGGACAAAAUAUACGUUUUCUGAGGAUUUUUGAACUAAAAUAUUGAAUGCAGGCUCUAUCUCGUAUCAAUAUAUCUGUAUUGUAUUCAAAAUCGAUUCUGUAGCCAUUUCGUUUCAA